GAUGAACGCUGGCGGCGUGCCUAAUACAUGCAAGUCGAGCGAAGCGGGGACGGGUGAGUAACACGUGGAUAACCUCCUAUAAGACUGGGAUAACUUCGGGAAACCGGAGCUAAACCGGAUACUUAUAGAUGGAUCCGCGCUGCAUUAGCUAGUUGGUAAGGUAACGGCUUACCAAGGCAACGAUGCAUAGCCGACCUGGGAGGGGGAUGGGCCACAUGGGAAUGGUGACCCGUUCAAGACACGUACGGUGGGCAGCGGAAGGGAAUAUUCCGCAAGGGGCGAAGGCCUGACGGAGCAACGCCGCGUGAGGGAUGAAGUUCUUGGAAUCGUAAACUCUGUUAUUAGGGAAGCGGUACCUAAUCAGAAAGCCACGGCUAACUACGGGCCAGCAGCCGCGGUAAUUC
rnacentral:rRNA from 1 species